CACUUAUUAUCGGGCUAUGUAUGUAGAAGCUUAAGUGGAUUGCUUCCGGACGGGGGUUCGACUCCCCCCGCCUCCACCA
rnacentral:tmRNA from 1 species